GCUUACGGCCAUACCAGCCUGAAUGCGCCCGAUCUCGUCUGAUCUCGGAAGCUAAGCAGGGUCGGGCCUGGUUAGUACUUGGAUGGGAGACCGCCUGGGAAUACCAGGUGCUGUAAGCU
rnacentral:rRNA from 1 species